rnacentral:rRNA from 1 species
UACGUAGGCAGCGAGCGUUGUUCGGAGUUACUGGGCGUAAAGGGUGUGUAGGCGGCUUUCCAAGUUUGGUGUGAAAUCUCCCGGCUUAACCGGGAGGGUGCGCCGAAAACUGGGAGGCUAGAGUGCGGGAUGGGAGAGUGGAAUUCCUGGUGUAGCGGUGAAAUGCGUAGAUAUCAGGAGGAACACCGGUGGUGUAGACGGCUCUCUGGACCGUAACUGACGCUGAGACACGAAAGCGUGGGUAGCAAACAGG